CAUCCUUCAUUUUCAAAGAGGACUAAUGACAUCAUGGGGUGAUAUCUUGAUUGUUAAGUGAAUUCAAUUUAAGUUGAAGCAGAGUUGCACCAAGCUGUCAGCUUCACUCUCUCUUCCAGUCAUCAAAAUGGAGCCAUGCAAAUACCAAGAAUGGCCAUAGUCCCCUCACGUGACAUCUAGAUCAACCAGCAUUACAAAAUGAUAUUUAUGAAGGACUGGAAAAGAGAAAUCUUCCUUUUCAUCUUAACCUGCAGCAUCUUAUGCUUCCCACAAGAAUAAAACCUCACCGAACAAAACAGAACCUACACCAGGCUCCUACUCUGAAGGCCAGCCUACUGUUCACUGACAUUAGGAAAUAACAUCUAUAAGUUGCUGUCUGGUUCACCCAGAGACACAGGAUCCUGGCUCCAGACUCUCCCCACCUCCUACUCCCCCCCCCCCACACACACAUCCUCACUUGAAUCAGGCGAGAUCUCCAUCCUCCCCAAAGCCUAGACACUCCUUCAGUACACACCAAAGGACGGCUACCGAGAGCGGAAACAAGCCACAUCGGGUCUGUGACGGCCUUUGUUAUGCUAUAAUAGUUGGACCCUAUUAAACUAUAAAAAAAAACCGAACGACGCACAUAAAACUGUACGUUGCCUGCUCCCGGCUGGGCCAGCCAGCGCUGCCCACCCUCCCACUAGGCUCCGGCGUGCCGCUUUACUAGCCCCAGCGAUUCUGGGCUCCAGGACACAGCGGCACCAAGGCUGGGGCUGCCUCCUGAACACUGGCAGCACAAAGCGACAGGAGCUUCAAGGCCUUUCUAUACCUUUUUAAAUUGUUAUUGUUAUUAUUCUCAGGAUUUAUGGCGUGCAGUCCGCCAAAGGACAGAGUCUCCUGACUCGUGUCUCGUGCCUCCCGACUCCCGGCUCCCUCUCCCCUACCUAAGGAGAAUGGACCGGCUAAGGAACGCAUUGCAGACUAAAUACCUCUCUCCGCCACCCCCACCCCCCCAUCAAAGUCCCAAUUUGGGGAGAAGAUCGUUGCCCUCCGUUUCUGUCAGUAUGUUGAAAAGCUCUUCCUUCCAUCCAAGAUCUUGGAAGUCAACCUGAGGUUACCCUGUAUAAUCAAGUAAGGAGUUGAAUAGAGGACUGAGGAGAACACACAGAUUGGGAUCCCUCUCGUUCAGCAGUGAACAGUCUUUCAAAUUCCCUGUAAAUGGAGAUUUUUCUUCUUCCUCUUCCCCCAUAUCCUCAUAAAGCUUUUCCAAGAUGAGUCUGUCCUAUCUAGUAUCCUUGGCCAUCAGUGGAGCCAUAACUGGGAAAUUCUGACACCCGGAGCGAACUUGUUGAGCAAGGGAAGGGGGUUUGGGAAAGAUCCUAGAGACCCUAAGAUACCCCAAGGCUAACAUGCAACACCAUCACCACUAAAUGGACUUUGUUCAUAGUACAGGUUCCCAAGCCAGGAAACCAGUAGACAACCAAGGGGGGAAAGGCAGCUCUAAGACAAGGGCAUAACAGUUCUGGCUCUCUUUCAGGGACUGAGGUACAUCCUCCAUCCAGGGCACUGAAGUGAGUCACCAAGGG